ensembl:lncRNA
GUAUAUCUAUGUCUCUGUUCUGGCCAUUCUCUAUGUGAAUGGAUAUCUAUGUCUCUGUUCUGGCCAUUCUCUAUGUGAAUGGAUAUCUAUGUCUCUGUUCUGGCCAUACUCUAUGUGAAUGGAUAUCUAUGUCUCUGUUCUGGCCAUUCUCUAUGUGAAUGGAUAUCUAUGUCUCUGGUCUGGCCACUCUAUGUGAAUGUGUCACCCACCCUUUGACUAACACAAACCCACACAGCGUUAUGUUUCUCUUUGACUUCAGACCCCUGUGACAGUUGUGUGGUUAAUGUGUUGUACUGAUGAUGACUGAAACAUCCAGUGCAGUGAGACAGCAACUAUAUUAUGUGAAUGUGCCCCACCCUUUGACUAAAAACAAAACAAACACAUACCGGUCUUAAUUUGUCCCCCAGCUUUUGACUAAAUAUGAAACACACGUACCGGUGUCUUAAUCCGCCAACCUACUAGUACAACCAGCUACACUCCCCUCAGAAUUAGAAGUGUGUGUGUGUGUGUGUGUGUGUGUGUGUGUGUGUGUGCGCGCAGACAUUGCAUAAACAGUGCUAUGGUUUGAAUGUGGAACUAUAAGCUGAUCCCACGAAAGCUGCAUAGGAAUCUUAAUGCGCUUCCCCAUCAGACCAUGAGAGUCAGAGUUCCACACGUGGAAUGAAUCUCACCUUAGAAUUUGGUUCUGUGUGAUUUUACAGAGACUAUUUUCAGAUAGAUACACACAAGCCACCGAUCCAGGGUUUUUUCUGCAAAGAAAAGUCUUGGGCGGGCUUCCUAAGUGUGUUUUCGGGCUGCCUAUGUCCAAACAGUAAAAAAAUAAUAAUCUUGUAAUAAAAUGGAAUGGAAAAAGGAUGGAAAAACGUAAGUGUAAACUUAAACGACUAAAACCAGAUAUAAACUAUGUAGAAAAGAUAACAGACCUACCCCUGAAGUCUGAAGAAGUGCACCAGUCCCCCACAACAUGAUGCUGCCACCCCCGUGCUUCACGGUUCAGAUGGUGUUCUGCAGCUUGCAAACCUCCCCCUUUUUCCUCCAAACUAACGAUGGUCAUUAUGGCCAAACAGUUCUAUUUUUGUUUCAUCAGACCAGAGGACAUUUCUCGAAAAGGUAGGAUCUUUGUCCCCAUGUACAGUUGCAAACCGUAGUCUGGCAUUUUUAUGGCGCUUGUGGAGCAGUGGCUUCUUCCUUGCUGAGUGGCCAUUAAGGUUAUGUCGAUAUAGGACUCAUUUUACUGUGGAUAUAGAUACUUUUGUACCCGUUUCCUCCAGAAUCUUCACAAGUUUCCUUUGCUGUUAUUCUGGGAUUGAUU